GUGCUCGCUUCGGCAGCACGUAUACUAAAAAAUGGAAUGAUACAGAUAAGAUUGGCAUUGCCCCUGCGCAAGGAUGACAUGCAAAUUCGUGAAGCAUUCCAUUUAAAA